UACGUAGGGGGCAAGCGUUGUCCGGAAUCAUUGGGCGUAAAGCGCGCGUAGGCGGCCCGGUAAGUCCGCUGUAAAAGUCCAGGGCUCAACCCUGGAAAGCCGGUGGGUACUGUCGGGCUAGAGUCCGGAAGAGGCGAGUGGAAUUCCUGGUGUAGCGGUGGAAUGCGCAGAUAUCAGGAGGAACACCGAUGGCGAAGGCAGCUCGCUGGGACGGUACUGACGCUGAGGCGCGAAAGCGUGGGGAGCGAACAGG
rnacentral:rRNA from 1 species